rnacentral:rRNA from 1 species
AUUGAACGCUGGCGGCAGGCUUAACACAUGCAAGUCGAGCGGAGAUGAGGUGCUUGCACCUUAUCUUAGCGGCGGACGGGUGAGUAAUGCUUAGGAAUCUGCCUAUUAGUGGGGGACAACAUUCCGAAAGGAAUGCUAAUACCGCAUACGUCCUACGGGAGAAAGCAGGGGAUCUUCGGACCUUGCGCUAAUAGAUGAGCCUAAGUCGGAUUAGCUAGUUGGUGGGGUAAAGGCCUGCCAAGGCGACGAUCUGUAGCGGGUCUGAGAGGAUGAUCCGCCACACUGGGACUGACACACGGCCCAGACUCCUACGGGAGGCAGCAGUGGGGAAUAUUGGACAAUGGGGGGAACCCUGAUCCAGCCAUGCCGCGUGUGUGAAGAAGGCCUUAUGGUUGUAAAGCACUUUAAGCGAGGAGGAGGCUACUGAGACUAAUACUCUUGGAUAGUGGACGUUACUCGCAGAAUAAGCACCGGCUAACUCUGUGCCAGCCGCCGCGGUAACAC